UGCAAAGAGAAAGAGACACGGCGGCACUGCUUCCACUGGUAUGGCCGUCAGUAAUGGAAUAACCGUAGAUGUGGUAUAAUAGGCUCCGCUGUGUGGUGCUCAGCAAAACAGAGGUACAGACUGUAGGUCACGAUGAGGAGAAGGAAAAGUGUAUUGAUGUAUGACACUCUAAACCUGUGCUGACAAGGGAAUGAUCCUGCACAUAUUUACCUAUUCAUGCUGCCAGGAAGGCAAAAGAAUGCGUGAAGAUAUUUUCCCGGACUUGAAAGCUAGUGAUCCCAUCACCACCCUUUGCCUAACAUAGAGGUUCUGUGUUAAUAGACCUCUUAUCUGUGUUCACUAGAGCAUCUCUAGGAUUAAUCUCCUUCAGACUGCACAGACAACAUCCACCAAUUGCCUGGACAUGGUCCAGAGAUACAGUAUCAUUUUUGUGGAGAUAGAAUUGAUGCUUUAUUAAAGAACAUGAUCUAGAGCAAUACAUCGUUAUAGAGAAGAAGGGCUUAUUUAUAUAGAACAACACAUUUUCCAAUCACAGGAAAGUUCACAUGCAAACUAAUGGAACUUUAACUUUUUACCACUUUCAAGAGCUAUAAGUUUCACCUUAUCCUUGCAAUAAAUGUUGACCUGAACGUUACUCCUAAAUCAAUGAGUUGCUAAGAGGAUGUUUAGCUGCCUAUCAACUUAUUUUCACUCACACAUGAGGACAGAAUAGCAUCUUCUGUUUCACUUUUUCUUACAUAGAAGUCAAAUUAAAUUUGGUGAGGUCGGAUGUGAUUUUUUUUGACAAUUUUUUCAAAUUACAUUUUCUUACGCUUAAUAAAAAAAAUGUAAACUCAUCAAUCUCGGGCGUUGUCCUUUGCAUUGCCUUGAAGUGAUUGACACACGCAUACUCGGUUCGGCAGGGGGCCCAUACUAAGUUUUGCUAUGGGGCCCUAUGAGAUCUGUGUACUCCCCUGAUCAUGGGAUAACCAUUUUAAACUGUUGAGUACAGCCUCUUUUGUUAUUUUUCAUGAUUCCUAACUGUUCAAAUGUUUAAGUAACUCCGGAAAACCCCUUUAAUAUAAGUUUU